rnacentral:lncRNA from 1 species
CCAUCGUUUAGGUUUCUGAGUAGCUAAAGUUAAGAUAGAAUAGGUCAUCACAACCUGGGGUUGAAGAAUGAGCAGCUUUAAAAAGGAAAUGGCAAGCAGGAAGGAGAGUAGUAACGUCGUAUUAUCCAUCCGAAGCAGUAGCAGGCCAGGCACUGGUCUUUCUAUCUUCUGGCUGUUCCCAGAAGGAAUUUCCGAGCUUUUGAAAUAAUAGCUGUGGCACUCUCUUUCUUCCAUAGAGAAGGAACUUAUUCUUAAACUUUUGGAGCUUUGGCUUUGGUUUGGACCUGUACUAGUCCGAGAAGUGAGAGCACCAGGUUGGAAGAUGCUGGUUCGAGAGGACCUGGAAAAAUGCUAGUAAGAAGGAGGCUAGUUUGCUAGGUUGUAGAUCAAAAAGGAAAUGGCAAGCAGGAAGGAGAGUAGUAACGUCGUAUUAUCCAUCCGAAGCAGUAGCAGGCCAGGCACUGGUCUUUCUAUCUUCUGGCUGUUCCCAGAAGGAAUUUUCGAGCUUUUGAAAUAAUAGCUGUGGCACUCUCUUUCUUCCAUAGAGAAGGAACUUAUUCUUAAACUUUUGGAGCUUUGGCUUUGGUUUGGACCUGUACUAGUCCGAGAAGUGAGAGCACCAGGUUGGAAGAUGCUGGUUCGAGAGGA